rnacentral:rRNA from 1 species
GACGUAGGGCGCGAGCGUUGUCCGGAUUUAUUGGGCGUAAAGAGCUCGUAGGCGGCUUGUCGCGUCGGCUGUGAAAUCCCGUGGCUUAACUGCGGGUCUGCAGCCGAGACGGGCAGGCUAGAGUUCGGUAGGGGAGACUGGAAUUCCUGGUGUAGCGGUGAAAUGCGCAGAUAUCAGGAGGAACACCGGUGGCGAAGGCGGGUCUCUGGGCCGAUACUGACGCUGAGGAGCGAAAGCGUGGGGAGCGAACAGG